GACGAACGCUGGCGGCGUGCCUAAUACAUGCAAGUCGAACGCAGUGGGGACGGGUGAGUAACACGUGGGUAACCUCCCAUCAGAGGGGAUACCACUUGGAAACAGGUGCUAAACCGAUACUGAUGGAUGGACCCGCGGUGAAUUAGCUAGUUGGUGAGGUAACGGCUCACCAAGGCCACGAUGCAUAGCGGGCCUGAGAGGGUGAUCGGCCACACUGGGACUGAGACACGGCCCAGACUCCUACGGGAGGCAGCAGUAGGGAAUCUUCGGCAAUGGGCGAAAGUCUGACCGAGCAACGCCGCGUGUGUGAAGAAGGUUUUCGGGUCGUAAAACACUGUUGUUAGAGAGGCGUUACCGAACGAGAAAGCCACGGCUAACUACGUGCCAGCAGCCGCGGUAAUUC
rnacentral:rRNA from 1 species